AACAUCGCGCACCUGCGGGAACCUGCGGAAGGAUCAUUACAGAGUUGCAAAACUCCCCAAACCAUUGUGAACCUUACCUUCAAACGUUGCUUCGGCGGGCGGGCCACAGCGCCCCCCGGGCCCCCCCAGCGGGGGCGCCCGCCGGAGGAUACCCAAACUCUUGAUACUUUAUGGCCUCUCUGAGUCUUCUGUACUGAAUAAGUCAAAACUUUCAACAAUGGAUCUCAGAUCGGAAGAGCA
rnacentral:misc_RNA from 1 species